AUCGCCAUACAACAUUUCAAAUACUGGUUCUCGUCCGAUCACUAAAGUGAAGCAACUUCAACCUUUGUCAGAACUUGGGAGGGUAACCACUUGAGUGCUCUUGGCU